AGAAGAUGCUACAGCAUUUGUGCCUUUGACUUCAUUACCUGAAAAAGUAGUAAAGACGUAGCCCUCAACUGAAUGGGUACAUGUUCCAUAAAGCCAUCGCAUUUUACAAGGGUACUUUUAAAGAAAUGUUGGUAGUGCUUAAUCUUGCACCUGAAAGACUUAUUCCAUUGAGGCUGUUUAGCUGAAUGUGCGUUUGUGAGGCUUGUAAUAAACCCAUAACACGUUCUAAAAUCUACUGAAUAUAUUUGCAUAAUCAAAGAGAGUCCAGCAGAG